rnacentral:rRNA from 1 species
CACGUAGGGCGCAAGCGUUGUCCGGAAUUAUUGGGCGUAAAGAGCUCGUAGGCGGUCUGUUGCGUCCGCUGUGAAAACUCGGGGCUUAACCCCGAGCCUGCAGUGGAUACGGGCAGACUAGAGGUAGGUAGGGGGAGAAUGGAAUUCCCGGUGUAGCGGUGAAAUGCGCAGAUAUCGGGAGGAACACCGAUGGCGAAGGCAGGUCUCUGGGCAUUAACUGACGCUGAGGAGCGAAAGCAUGGGGAGCGAACGGG